GGAGAGGUGCCAGAGUGGUCGAAUGGGGCACACUGCUAAUGUGUUGACCGGGUUAUACCGGUCCGCGGGUUCGAAUCCCGCCCUCUCCGCCA
rnacentral:tRNA from 1 species